rnacentral:ncRNA from 1 species
UGUCUUCGGGGCAGGGUGAAAUUCCCGACCGGCGGUAAAGUCCGCGAGCGGAGGCUUGGGCCAAAGCAUGAAUCGGUGCAAUUCCGAUACCGACAGUAAAGUCUGGAUGGAAGAAGAU